rnacentral:rRNA from 1 species
UACGUAGGGGCCUAGCGUUGUCCGGAUUUAUUGGGCGUAAAGAGCUCGUAGGCGGUUUGGUAAGUCGGGUGUGAAAUCUCCACGCUCAACGUGGAGGGGCCACCCGAUACUGCCAUGACUGGAGUCCGGUAGGGGAGUGUGGAAUUCCCGGUGUAGCGGUGAAAUGCGUAGAUAUCAGGAGGAAUACCUAUGGCGAAAGCAGGUCUCUGGGCCACAACUGACGCUGAGCUGCGAAAGCUAGGGGAGCAAACAGG